rnacentral:rRNA from 1 species
AUUGAACGCUGGCGGCAGGCCUAACACAUGCAAGUCGAACGAGUGGCGGACGGGUGGGUAAUGCUUGGGAAUCUACCUUAUGGAGGGGGAUAACUACUGGAAACUGUAGCUAAUACCGCGUACCAUAGGAUGAGCCCAAGUGGGAUUAGGUAGUUGGUGGGGUAAAGGCUCACCAAGGCGACGAUCCCUAGCUGGUCUGAGAGGAUGACCAGCCACACUGGAACUGAGACACGGCCCAGACUCCUACGGGAGGCAGCAGUGGGGAAUAUUGCGCAAUGGGGGCAAGCCUGAUGCAGCCAUGCCGCGUGUAUGAAGAAGGCCUUAGGGUUGUAAAGUACUUUCAGCGGGGAGGCGUUACCCGCAGAAGAAGCACCGGCUAACUCCGUGCCAGCAGCCGCGGUAAUUC